AUGGCAUUUGUUGAAGAAGCCUCAGAAGCUUUCCUAACUUCAAAAACCAAGAUAUCUCCAAGGAAGAAGGCAAUUUGGAAAAAGUUUCCUGAAUUUCAUGAGGGUGUCCCAGUUAAGCAUAUGAAAUUCUUAAUGAAGUCAAUGAAAGUUUCAUUCAUCUGCCCUGUAGCUCGACUGUGUUUUCUUCUGUUCCCAAUUAGCAGCAUAGAACGAAGAAAUCAUGAAGAAAAAAGAAAUGCUGUGGUGACCCCUGGGAAAAUUAGAAAACAAGAGAACAAAAUGGAGCAGCUGAGACAAAUCAACAGCCUACAGUGUCUGGGGCUUAAACCAUAUUUUUCUGAUAGCUUCACAGGAGAUUGUGAGUCAUGGCAGCUGCUUUUACUGAUUCUCCAAAUGAAUAGUUUUCAAAGACUGCAAUCAUACUGUAUGGGAUGUGCUUCAUAACCUGUCUGUGCUGCAGGGAAAGACUGUGGGUGCUUAACUCAGGUUGGCUAACUCCGUUUUAAACAGAGUGAAAUGUGUAUUUUAAAGUAAAUUUGAAGUAGGAAUUCAAGCCUAUAUGAGACUCUGAACAUGAAUUCAGCUGUUUACUUAGUUGAAACCCAGUAGACUUGUUUCAUUGCUCUUUUGAUCCAGGUUAACCAUUCCUUCGUUCAUCUGUAGGACAAAUGCACAGCCAAUAUUAAGAUAAGUAAACACUUAUUGGGUAUGACAGUACAUAUCCAUGAGAUCAAAUCAGCAUCAUCUUGAACUAUGUGAUAGUAACAUCAAGAUAAAAAUCAGCCCCUGUUACUGCUGGCUCAGCCAUGACUUCCGUUUUUCAGUUCGCUUUUAGUAUUUGUGCCUGAGGCUGUUUUAGCUGAUUCAUAAACUUGUUUCAAGAGACAAAAUUCAUCUCAAUGGCUGCUUUAUUUGAGAAUUCCAAUUACGCUUACAAAAAAAAAAAAACAAAAAAAACCCCAGAUACUGAUGCCUGUAGAUUAUAAAAUCUAUAGAUUAUACCAUUGAAUAAUUCACAGUACUCACAAGGGCCAUUUUUCCAGGGAUUUUAUACUACCAGCACAAUACUUGUCUCAUCAAGGUGAAAAAUCUGUCUCUAGUACUUUCAUCUUUGUUAAUAUCAAAUUUACAGAGACCACUAUUUAAGAGAAAGGUACCAUCUGUAAGGGUGGAGGAAGAAAACCAAGUAUCUAAAACUUGCUUUUGUUAUGUGAUCCAUUAUAAUUUGGGGAAAACCACAGAAAACCAGGGCAAGUUUAAAGACACAAAGCUUAAAAUGAAGUUUUUAUGAAAUGCUGGAAGGCCAGCAGUAAGUCACAGAAAACUUAUUUUUAAUAACCACAAUAUACCUAGGAAUUUCAGUUAUGCUGACUGCUUUGUUGUGAACAGAUUGGUAACAUAGUCUGUUAUUAAAGUUGCAUAACACUUCUGAUUUAUAAGGUCU
rnacentral:lncRNA from 1 species